GCAGUAAAAGUGCAUAUACUUAAAUUGGAACGAUACAGCUAAGAUGUAAAUAGCCUCUGGGCAAAGAUGACGCAAGAAAUCGUGAGUUUUGCACAUUUUUU
rnacentral:snRNA from 1 species